UUCAUUAAAAUUAACGGGACAAAUGGAAAUCCCCAUUUCCAACUCGAUCCUGUGUAACUGUUUUCCUCCUGUGUGGGAGCUAUAUAGUUCCAGUCCUAUUCAUUUGGUCAUUUUGUGCAGCUGACGUUAUACAGAAAUUGGACCUGGAGAGUGUUCAAAUGCUGGAGGAGAGGGGGGGAGAGACCUUGCCCAGCUGAAGCAGUGAAAAGAAAUGGAUUAACAGAUGGAACAACAGUCAACCUUCCAAAUGACCACUCCAUAAUGAAGUGGCCCAACGCUUGGCAACAUUAGAAAGUGGACAAGCAGGCAUUCAACUGGAUGAACCAGGGCUUUCUGGCAUUAAAAGUGUAAUAUUUAUGAGCUAAUUUAAUCACAGAAGAAAAUAUUGAGUAGGUGACUGAGUAAAAUGAUGACUGUGUAUUAUGUUUUCGCCAUGCAGCUGGAUAAACACAUUCAGUGACAGACCUUGGCAAAGACUGCAAAGAUGU